rnacentral:misc_RNA from 1 species
GAUGAAGAACGUAGCGAAAUGCGAUAAGUAAUGUGAAUUGCAGAAUUCAGUGAAUCAUCGAAUCUUUGAACGCACCUUGCGCUCCUUGGUAUUCCGAGGAGCAUGCCUGUUUGAGUGUCAUUAAGUCCACUUAAGCCCUGCUUAGUGUUGGGAGACUGCUCCAGCGGUGCUACCCUGUAGCUACCCUGCAGCUCCUCAAAGACAGCGGCGGAGUUGUGGUAUCCUCUGAGCUUAGUAACUUGUUCUAGCUUUCGAGUACACCACUUCCCCUGCCGUAAAACCCUUAAUUUUUAAUGGUUGACCUCGGAUCAGGUAGGAAUACCCGCUGAACUUAAGCAUAUCAAUAAGCGGAGGA